GGAAAGGAGAGAACCUGGAAAGUAUACUAGAUGCCUUUUCAACUAGUUCCAAUAAAUAUCCAGCGUACAAGAAUUUCGCAACUAGAGAAAAAUCUUUUUAUGGCUGUGAUAGUAGUAUGAAGAAGAGAGCUGGAGAAUUUGCAAAAGAUGGGUUCUUUUAUGAAGGUUAUGAUCGAGCAACAUCAUGUUUUAAUUGUGGUUACUCCAAAAGCGACUGGACUGAUUCGGACGAUAUUCACACAAAGCAUUUACAAUUAAACGAAAAAUGUGACUUUAUGAACUAUGUGCAAAAAUUUUAAAGACUUGAGUUCUGUUUGUAUGCAUAAAUAACAUGUAAGGAAUUUUAUAUGUCUUGAUGUUGGAUCAUACAGAUUGGUGAGUUAGUACUUGAAUGUAUAACUCUUUGUAAGUACUGUAAUAUUGCAAAGUGUAAGGCGUUCAUGUUAAAUAAGUGCCCUACCAAAAAUGUGCCAAAGUCAACUUGAAAGUAAUUAUAUAUGCUAUACAAUUAUGUUGUAAUUUGAUUAUGAAAAAGACGAUUUGAAAAGCUGAAAAAUUAAAAUUUGUCUGGGGAAUUUUUGUUUCGAAAAACUGUCUUCUUUCACGACAUCGGUUUCUAAAUGAUGAUUUCAUGAAUCUCGGGAAUUGAUUUACAUAUUGCAGUUCUAAAAUAUUUCUCUAGUAGAAACAGCACUUUUAUACGGUUACAGGAAUAAUCUGUUACACCUAAUAUUUAUAUUUUUAUCAGAUAAAAUUGUCACAAUUUUCUUUCAUUCAUUAAAAUUAGAUCAUCCUUCUUAUUUUUUCCAAAUUAUUGCUGUCAACAUUUUAAUUACUUGAGAUAAAAGAUACUACAGAGAUACAUCUGUUUCAUAUUUGGAUAUUUUACUUGAAAAGGGCGUUAAUAGUAAUCUAAUAACCAAGCUAUAUGAUAAACAUGAUGACUUUACAAUCAUCAACUUCACGAAAAUGCUGACUGACGUUUUCAUACUAAUUGUAAGUUCAUUAUUUAAACUCUGAAUUGAUGAGGGAUUUUUCUGGUUUUUACCCGAACAUGACAUGGAUCACACGGCGGGUGUGACCGGUUGGCAGGGGAUGCUCAUUCCUUCAUGGCACCUUAUCCCAUCUCUGAUGAUUUGGAGGUCCUUGUCUGCUCUGCUCCUAUUUUGUAUUGUUUAAUGCACAUUUGAUUUCAAACGAACAGACAAACGUUUAUUUUGGUUAGAUGUCUUUCCUUUUUUCUGAUGUAUUAGCUUAUUGUUUUUUUGAUGGAAUGAACAAAUGUUGUGUAGAAUUUUAUGUUGAUUAUCUUAAACUUACAAGCAGAUCGCAAAGAAUUUUCAAAUGUUUGAAGUUAGUUGCCUGUUAUUUUACGGAACUUUUUGUUAAAAGUACUUUGAACUAGGUUUGAUUUUUAUUGCAAUGUAUCCAAUUUUGAAAAAGUUAUGUUUUUGAACUGUAGAAUGUUGUUUAGGUAUAAUUAUUCUUUUUUAAAAAAAUAAGAUGGAGAGUGGUAUACGCAAACUCCCAGAAAGAUUGGAAUCUUUUAAAAUUUGAAAAUUUUAGUGAACCAGCAAUGGGAAAAAUUUGAAAGCAUGUGAUAGAUUAUAGUUAGUUUCAUUUCCUAUGUAUUUCAUGUGCUUUAAAUGUGAUGUUUUGUAGUUUUCGGAAUUGUAAUAAAAUACAGCUUUACUGCCACGUUA